rfam:Triticum aestivum genome assembly, contig: Triticum_aestivum_CS42_TGACv1_scaffold_406667_5BL
CAUGUACUCCCUCCGUCCGGAAAUACUUGUCGGGAAAUGGAUGUAUCUAGACAUAUGUUAGUUCUAGAUACAUCCAUUUUUAUCAAUUUCUUCGACAAGUAAUUCCGGACGGAGGGAGUAAUCA